CCUUUAUUUUUGUAUUCUGUGGGCGUCUCUCUCUCUCUUUCUCGCUAGGGAUCGCUCUGGUCAGCCAUCCGAACUCAACUCAACUCGUUCUAUUUCUUUCAACUCACUACUAUUAACCCAUCCCAGCACCUAAUUACUUACACUCACCUUCUUCCAUCUCAUUUCUCAAACACACACACUUACCCGCCAAAAUUUUAAUUAACCCUUUCAAUUCAAACCUCUUUCUUUUCCUUUCCCUCUCUCUCUCUCUCUCUCUCUCUCUCUAGGGUUUCCCCUUCCAUGGAGGAGGCCGUCUCCGAUCCCCAUCCGGAGAUGGAGCAGCAGCAGCAGCCUCCGCCGCUUCAGAACGGGGACUCCGACGAGCGCUGCGCCAAGAAACCUAAAUUCGACCAAGGCGCUGAAUUCAAGAGAGUGGCGGAGAUUGUGCUGGUUCUCUCCACCAUGGCCACGGUGCGCGCGGGGAGAAAGCCCUCCGACGCCGAGGUCGAGCUCAUGAGGGAGGCUCGCGCCAAGCUCGCCAGCCUCUGCGAGGGUUUGGCUCCGAAGGAUAUUGUCACCAGGGAAGCUAUUGGCACCGUCAUUGAGGAUCUCGGAUUGAACUUCAAGCUCAAGGACCAGAGAUUAGGGUUUCGAACUCCCAAGAUGUCCAUUGCCGAGAGGUAUUCCCAUGCUAAGUGGAAGAUGGAAGAAGCAAAGAAAAUUUCUGCACCUUCUACACCUUCUACAACUCACACCUCUCAGCCCUUGCAAACAAACAUUGUUGGACCAGUUGACAAUCGUGUGCCAUCACAUGUUCGAAUUUUUCCUUCUGAUAAAUCAAGCCACCCAUCAAUCCCUUCUAUGGGUGCCAUAGUGUCUAUUCCUGCCCAUGUUUCUGUGGGAUCUUCUGCAGCAUUGCAGUAUCAAGUGAUCAGCAAUGAAGUAAGACCACCAGUGGUUUCUGGUGUGAUGCCUGGCAGUCACUUGGGGAGAAAUGCAUCUUCUUUAGCAUUGCCUAAAGUUGAACACCCACAGUUCAAAGUUGAUGGAGGAUCAAAUGGGUCUCCUUACAUGCUGCAAGUCCAAGCAAAUUCAUCAGCAAACCAACCUUUGGUGAAUGCUCCAACAUGGUCUAUACAGAGUCAAGCUGCUUCAUUAGCUAGAAGUGCAUCAGAAAACAAGGUGCCUGUUCAGAACUCUGUCAAGGUUGAAGGAACACCUGACAUAACUGUAUCAAGGGCAGGACCACAAAUAACAACAGACCCGAGCUUUAAACCAUUUAUCACUCAAACAGCCCCUGGAACUUUACCUAGUGUGCACCAGCCAUUGCAGGCCACAAACAUUGUUCAGCCUCCUUUGAUUCCUAGUCACACUGACAUUGCUAAGAUUGUCCAGAAAGUGUUACAACCAAAGCUUCCUGUCCAUCCCACGUGGACUCCUCCAUCAAGGGACUAUAUGAAUAAGGCUUUCACUUGUCAGAUGUGUGAGCUCAGUGUCAAUGAGGUUGAUACUGUACUUCUCUGUGAUGCUUGUGAAAAGGGAUUUCACUUGAAGUGCCUGCAGCCAUCAGUCUUGAGAGGAAUUCAUAAUAGAGUUGAUUGGCACUGUAUGAGGUGCUUGAGUUUAAGUGGUGGAAAGCCUUUGCCUCCAAAAUAUGGUCGUGUGAUGAGAUCCUCGAACACACCACCAAAAUUGCCUUCUAAUACAGGUGGCAUUCUACCUUGUUCUGAGAAGAAAGUAGAGAACAUAGAUCCAAAGGUCAUCCCACAAACGUUAGCAACAAAUGGGAGCUCUGUUCAAACUGUUUGCGGUGGCAAUCACAAUGUUGAGCUGUCAUCUGAAUCAAGGAUACCAGAUACCAAAGAUAUGCAAGGGACUAACAUUUCAUCCACCAUUGAAGCUAUUGAUAAGAAGCCUGAUCCAAACAACUCUAUGAAAUCUCUUAGUGCAGCUUCUAGUCCUUCCCCUUGCUUGCUAGGUAAAAAUUCUGUUCAACAAAUAAAUUCUAAGGUUUUGACUGGUAAAGAGACUUUGGAAUCUGAGUCUCUUCCUAAAUUAUCUGAGCCAGCUAAGUGUGAAGAUUUGCAAUCAUCACAAGAUUUUCAAGUUGAACAUACAAUGUCACAAGACAAUCCUGAAGUAUCAUCAGAUAAACAUGUCGACCAUAAUAUUAUGAAUAAUAAACAGAAGGAAUUUCAUGGAGGAAAAAGUUUAACUUAUGAUAUUAAGCGUGAUGACCAAGAUGCUGCACUUGCAAAUUUUGUUGGAACUUCUGGAACUAAUACUGACGGUACACAGCACUCUGCAUUAUCUUCAGAUAGUUCACAUGCAGUAGAAUGGAUUGGUGAUGUAGUACAACUAGUAGAUGAGAAAAAGUAUUACCAAUCUUGUUGUAUUGAUGGAGUAACAUAUAGGCUGCAGGGUCAUGCUCUUUUCCCCACCAGCCAUGGGAAACUAACUCCUUCUAAACUCCAGUCUAUGUGGGAAGAUUGCAAAACUGGGUUAAAGUGGGUUAAGGUGACAAACUGCUACUUUCCUGAUGAUUUGCCAGGGAAUAUUGGUCAUCCGUGUAUAUCUGAAGUCAACGAGGUUUAUGAAUCUAAUGGUGAUAGAACUGAAAUGGCUAACUCUAUUCGAGGGCCAUGUGAAGUCCUCCCAUCUGAUAAAUUUAAACAAGAAAAUGACAUGCGAUGUCAGUUAGGAAUUGAGGAAACUUCUAAAGUGCAGCCCAUUUUCCUUUGCAGGUGGUUUUAUGACGAAUUCAAGAAGUUAUUUCAACCUGUAAUCAGUUGAUUAUGUCUUGGACGUAUAUGUUUUGUGAUUCCUACAUGGCGCAAUUUUUGUGGUAUUUGGUGGGGUUUCGAACAGGAUAUUUAUUGUAUGGGUAAUUGAGCAUGCAUUAAGAUUCACUUGAGACCCAUUAUAAGGCACAUUGCAGCAACAUUGCCUCCUCGUACAAGAAUGUUCUAUCAUUUCAGCAUAAAUUGCUUUUGAUGUAAAAUAUGUAGCUGAGUCUGUGGACUGCUUAGUUUAGCUUUCGCUUUGGUAGUUUUUUUUUUUCCCGAUAGAUAUUCAUUCUGUAUAAUUCUUUUUUGGGCAUUAGGCUCUUUAGGCCCAAUAAUUACAUUAUUAUCUUUGAAUUAGAUCAGUGUAGUUCCCUUAGUUUGCUGAAUUGUAAGAUACUUCAUUUGUACAAAAGCCAUUUCUUCUAAAAUGCAUAACCUUGGCAAUUUCGUUAUCAA